rnacentral:rRNA from 1 species
GUCAUGUUCCCCAUGUUCCAGGAGCUUGCACCAGACAACCCAGAUGACAAGUGUGGUCACCACUACGCGAUUUGCCUUAACCUGAAGAACCAACGAUUUGAGGUGCUUGAUUCAAUGCUUUCAGAAGCUGACGAAGACCUUACUACACAUGCUGAAUUUUUCAUCAACAACCUCAAAGAGAUAUGGUACCGUCACUACGAAAACUCAAAGGUCCAGAUCAGUCAUUUCCCAAUCGAGUAUGUCGCGACUACGAAGCAAGGAAACCGGCAUGACCGUGGCUUUCACACGUUGGAAUACCUUGCAAAGUGGGAAGGUCGACGGGUCCCUGUCAUCACAGCUGCAAUGGUCGUUGAGCUCCGCAAAAUAUACACAUGGAACUGGUUGAUGAAUGAAGAUUUCAACACGUGGGCCAACGCACGAGAGUUCACAGAGGAAGCUAUCAAA